AACAUCCCACUAAAGAGUGAUGCAACUUUUUUUUUUCACUUCCCUUUUUUCCCCUUCAAUAAAUGGUUUUCCCUGAAAAUAUUUGAAGACUCAGCUUUGGAUGUAUAAAUCCUACAGUCAGUUUUGUUUAAACUUUAAAUAGGAAUAUAAUUUAUGCUUGGAAGAACUAUGGUUUAAAGAAAAUGUGAAUGUUCAUAAUUCUUUGUGGCAAUCUACUCUAGUUCUGGCCCUGCUCAGACUGUCAUCAAUCUGGUCAGACUUGAACUCAAAGUAGGAUUGUUCCAAAAACACAAAUACAAGAACUUUUGUAUAUUUUGGAUACGUGUUAAACUUUUGUAAUCGAGGGGUGCUAUCCAUCCUGUUUUCUUGUGUUCCUGCUCAAAUGCACCUGAUUUGAUUGAAUUAAUUAACAGAGGUAAUUCAUUCACUGCAUCAGGUGUGUCGGAGUAAAGAAACAAUGAAAACCUGCAGGACACCCCUGCUACACUGUUGUCUAUUCUUUGAAAUGGUGGUUGACCUAUUUAUUUAUUUAUUUAUGCAUGCAUGCAUCCCUCUUUACUUGACUGCCACAGUACUUCAUUGCUGCUUUUAAAGCAGACUCUCUCCCUUUUCUUUUUUACUCAAUACCUGCAAUGUGGUUGGUGCUUUUUCAGUUACACACUUAAUUUGUCUGGAGUCCCUGUUACUACAAGCAAUUCUGUCAUUGAGACAUUGAGAAAAAGUUAUCAGGGCAAGGGUUUCAGGAAGGCAUGAGAUUGACCUUGAUGGAAUGAAGCGUGUCAAGUAUAGCAUUGAAGAGACUAAGGUGUUCAAAGGCCUUGG